rnacentral:snRNA from 1 species
UGGGUCGUACACCAUCUCA